rnacentral:lncRNA from 1 species
GGUUCUUAGAGUGCUGCACCACGGGUAAAAGUGCAAACGCAGGAGCAGCUCUGAGGUUUACUAAGCCAGGAAGUCUGGGGAGAGGACCAUAAGUCUGCGUUCCAGCAGAGCUCCACGCUGGAACACCUGCCAGCUUCGAGACCUGCAGGGCAGUGUGGACCUCCCUACCCGGCUCCGGAAGUUUGCAUCUUCAGGAAGAGGCCUCAGGCAGAAGACCAAGGACAUGAGUCGCAUCCACAGACUGUGUAUAACCCGGUCACCACAGAGCUUCCCUCAAACCCACAGGCUCUCCAACGAUUACCCGGCAGCUGAGCCCCGCAAAAUCAACAAGCCAUCCAAAGGUUUUGAAAGCUUUGGUCCCAGCAGUACAGCGGUUUGGCAGUUUGGCAUCUCCCUGUGCUUUCAUGGGAAGCCUCUGCAGCCCAAGUCAUGGAAAUUGUUUGCAUCCCUGAGCCUUGCUGAGCAAGAAAGUGGCAGAGGGCUGCCCCGAGGGCUGCUGGGAAGAGGCCCCGACUCAGGAGGCCCAGCUGCCACUCCUGACCAGGCCAACGGUGAGCGCUCACAGGGUGCAUCUCAACGACCAAGCGCCUGGCCUGGCACACUCCUAAAGUUAGCUUCCACAGGGAAAUCUUGUACUGAUUCACCCAGAUGCCAUUUUCCAGACAGGGCUUCCCUGGCGUGUGUCCCAGCCCCAGGGCCUGGAGGGUGGACGCUGAAAUUCCCAUCAGUGGCUCCGUGCCUGGUCCUCCGCUCCAGGGCACUGUGCUGCCAGGUGCCGGGGCACAAACCUCAUCUUGCCUGCUCUUUCUGAGCCCCAUUUCCUACACCAG